CCGUAAGUGGACGAAACACAUGCCGCAUGUGACCAGAGUCUUUUCGUCCGCUUUCGUGGUUUGACUUGGCCUCUUGUGCUCCAGUUCUGGCCUUGAGGAAGGCAUGUCCCAGAAAGCCGUAGGCCCUGCAGGAAUAAAAGACCCACAAAGUGAAUGGAAACCCAGCCAUGGCCAGAACAGCGCUGAACCUGGCUCCCCUGCUGAUGCAGCUGAAAUCCAAGAAGGCAAGAACACAAUUCAAUGGCUUUGAAGAUUUUUUGCCUUCUGGUUUUGCCUCAGGAGAAAGAAGAACUUAAUAUGACUGGAAAAAUUAAGAUUUCAGUUAUACACGAUAGAGAUAAACUAAAGAAUCCCAUAGAGUUCAAAUUAUUGUCUGUGCUCCCAGAUGGCAUUUUAUAUCUGUGGUUGAGGGAAGGAGAAAUAUCAACCUUGCUAAUAAGUAAGAUAACCAGUUUGAGUGUAAUUUCCUGAAAUAUGUUAAUGGAUGGUUUGGUUUUCUAAAGUAGUCAGGGGACCUGAAUCUGAAAUUUGGAUGUUCUUUUACAAUCCAUAGAAAAGACAUGACAAGUUGUUCUAAUGUGAUUAGAAGAUUAUGUCUGAUCACAUUUCUCUUUCUAAGCACACAGUCUAUGAAAUUAAGGCAAUUAAGAAGAGAUCAUUGUUGUUGUAACUUGAUCCUCCCACUCCCUAGAAUUAAUCUGUCCAAUAGAAUUAAAGGGUUGCUUCCCUCCUGCC
ensembl:lncRNA